UUCGCCUCUGGGGAAACAUUAAUUGUUAAAAUAAAGCGCAAUUUAUCUGUUCUUAUCAGCUUAAUAUCUGAUACACUCCCCAUUGGGGAGUCAGAAUAUUAAUCUCAUUUUUGAAAACGGUCGGAUUUCGGAGCUUGCUCCGACUCCGACACGGGUCGCACCUGUAUUGCAUUACCGCAGGACGCGGCCCACACAUA